ACAACCCAUGUAAUACAUAAGGGAAAGAGAUACAUAGUUGGCUUACAAUCACCACUUCACACAAUUACAUGAAUAAAGCAUUACAUCAUCCAGAUACAAUCAAGGUCCGACUACGGAACCAAAAUAAAAGAAGAACCCCAAAUGCGACAAAGGUCCCUGAUCGACCCCAACUGGGCUCCACUACUGAUCAACUAGAACGAAACAACACAAAGGGCAAGAUCUUCAUCGAGCUCCUCCUCGAGCUUGGUUGCGUCACCUGCUCGGUAACAUAGGCACCUGCAAACUGGUUUAGGAAGUAUCUGUGAGCCACGGGGACUCAGCAAUCUCGCACCCGCAAGAUCAAGACUAUUUAAGCUUAUAGGAAGGAUGGAGUAAUGAGGUGGAGCUGCAGCAAGCGACUAGCAUAUAUGGUGGCUAACAUACGCAAAUGAGAGCGAGAAGAGAAGGCAAAGCACGGUCGAUAAAAGUAUGAUCAAGAAGUGAUCCUAUAGCAACCUACGUCAAGCAUAACUCCAACACCGUGUUCACUUUCCGGACUCCGCCGGAAAGAGACCAUCACGGUUACACACACGGUUGAUGUAUUUUAAUUAAGGUCAACUUCGGGUUUUCUACAACCGGACGUUAACAAAUUCCCAUCUGCCCAUAACCGCGGGCACGACUUUCGAAAGUUCAAAUCCCUGCAGGGGUGUCCCAACUUAGCCCAUCACAAGCUCUCACGGUCAACGAAGGAAUAGACCUCCACCCGAGACAUUCCGAUCAGACUCGGUAUCCCGGUACAACAAGACAUUUCGACAGGGUAAAACUAAACCAGCAACACCGCCCGAAUGUGCCGACAAAUCCCGAUAGGAGCUGCACAUAUCUCUUUCUCAGGGCACACUCAGAUGAGCGCUCCGUACAACUAAAACCAAACCUCGAGUUGCCCCGAGGGGGCGCUGCACAGGACUCUAGUUCGGACCAACACUUAGACAAGCACUGGCCCGGGGGGGUUAAGAAAAAGAUGACCCUCGGGAUGCGCGACUCCCAAGGGAAAAAGGCUAGGUGGCAAAUGGUAAAACCAAUGUUGGGCAUUGCUGGAGAAGCUUUACUUAAGGCGAACUGUCAAGGGGUUCCCAUAAUAGCCCAACCGCGUAAGGGACGCAAAAUCCGGGAACAUAACACCGAUAUGACGGAAACUAGGGCGGCAAGAGUGGAACAAAACACCAGGCAUAAGGCCGAGCCUUCCACCCUUUACCAAGUAUAUAGAUGCAUUAAUAAAAUAAGAUAUAUAGUGAUAUCCCAACAAGUAAUCAUGUUCCAACAAGGAACAACAUCUCCAUGUUCCAACAAGGAACAAACUUCAAUCUUCACCUGCAACUAACAAUGCUAUAAGAGGGGCUGAGCAAAGCGGUAACAUAGCCAAUCAACGGUUUGCUAGGUUUAAUGGUGGGUUAGAGGUUUGACAUGGCAAUUUGGGAGGCUGACAAGCAAAUGGUAGGCAUCGUAGCAUUGGCAUAGCAAGAGCAAGCAAACUAGCAUAGCAAAGAUAGUAGUGAUUUCGAGGGUAUGAUCAUCUUGCCUGAAAUCCUGCAAGGAAGAAGAACGAGUCCAUGAAGAAGACAAACGGACGUAGACGAAUGGAUCCUCACAAACGCGACGUUAUCGGAACCAACCCGAAGAAGCAACACCGGAAAGAAGCAAACAACAUAGUAAACAACCAGCACAUCAACAUGGCACGAUGCACAAACAAGAAUGAUGCAUGUCCGGUUCAAUGAGGCAUGGCAUGGCAUGGCAAAGUGCACAAUCAAUCCUACAAAUUAAAUGGAGCUCAAUAUGCAUCGGGAUGCAUAUUGACAAAACACCACAUCG
rnacentral:lncRNA from 1 species